rnacentral:rRNA from 1 species
GAGUUUGAUCAUGGCUCAGGACGAACGCUGGCGGCGUGCUUAACACAUGCAGGUCGAGCGAUGAAGCUUCCUUCGGGAAGUGGAUUAGCGGCGGACGGGUGAGUAACACGUGGGCAACCUGCCUCAAAGAGGGGAAUAGCCCUCCGAAAGGAGGAUUAAUACCGCAUAAAGUUAGAGUUUCGCAUGAAACUUUAACCAAAGGAGUAAUCUGCUUUGAGAUGGGCCCGCGUCCCAUUAGCUAGUUGGUAAGGUAAUGGCUUACCAAGGCAACGAUGGGUAGCCGACCUGAGAGGGUGAUCGGCCACAUUGGAACUGAGACACGGUCCAGACUCCUACGGGAGGCAGCAGUGGGGAAUAUUGCACAAUGGGGGAAACCCUGAUGCAGCAACGCCGCGUGAGUGAUGAAGGUCUUCGGAUCGUAAAGCUCUGUCUUCAGGGACGAUAAUGACGGUACCUGAGGAGGAAGCCACGGCUAACUACGUGCCAGCAGCCGCGGUAAUAC